AUUGAACGCUGGCGGCCGGCCUAACACAUGCAAGUCGAACGGAGCGGCAGAAGGGGGAGUAAUACCUAGGAAUCUGCAUGGUAGUGGUGGAGAAGGUACGGAAACGGAAGCUAAUACCAAUUACUAUCAGCUGAGCCUAGGUCGGAUUAGAUAGUUGGUGAGGUAGUGGAAAACAAAGGCGACGGUCCGUAACUGGUCUGAGAGGAUGAUCAGUCACACUGGAACUGAGACACGGUCCAGACUCCUACGGGAGGCAGCAGUGGGGAAUAUUGGACAAUGGGCGAAAGCCUGAUUCAGCCAGUCCGCGUGUGUGAAGAAGGUCUUCGGAUUGUAAAGUACUUUAAGAUGGGAGGCGUUACCCACAGAAUAAGCACCGGCUAACUCCGUGCCAGCAGCCGCGGUAAUUC
rnacentral:rRNA from 1 species